rnacentral:lncRNA from 1 species
UGUCUAAAACACCAAAUUUUAUAAAUUUUAAAUAAACAUAAUUUAAAUAGCUACAUGUGGCUGGUGUCUACCAUAUUUAGAGAGUACAGGUCUAUUCCAAGGAACAGAAUUAUUAGAUAAUCAGGUAUGCAUAUUUAAGCAUUACUAGCUAAUGUAGAAUUGCUCUCCAGAAUAGACUCCAAUGUUUGUUUUCAACUGCCUGUAAUAUGCAAUGAUCUAUUUCCCCAUCUCCUUGGCUAUAUACUUAGUUUUAUUAGUUUAUACAUUUUUUAGAUAAUUUGAUGAGUAUAAAAUUGUAUCUCAUUAACGGUUGAUUUGUAAUUCCCUUUGUGGUGCUGUAAUACUCAUACAUCUAUCAAGGACUCUUUUUUCCUCCCUUUAAAAUUAUCUACUUAUUUUUUCUUUGUAAGCGUCAUCUUUUUUUCAUUGUGGGAGUUCUUCAUAAACUUGUCAUUUUACUUGAUAAAAGGUCAUACUUAAAAGUCUGAGGCUUCUCAUUCACUUGAAUCUGUAGUCUUUUGUUACAUAGUUGUUUAAAUUUUUGAUACAUAUCUAUAUUUUCCCUCAUUGUUUCAAGUGUUAGUGCCUUUCCUAAGGAACCUUUUCUUAUUAUGAUGUCACAAAUGUAUUCUGCUAUGUCUACUGGGAGAAUACACUAGUGGGGAUAGUUCUGUGUAUACAGUGAUUAAGCACAUAGGUUCUGGAGCCAGUCUGUUUCUUUCAAAAUCACCUCAUUGCUUUUGAAGAAUCAGGGAAACCCCCAUGAGACUACAGGUGUGAAGCAAGAUAGAAGCAUCAGUGCAAAAGAGUCUCUUCCAGGGUAAAGGAUGGACUUUGGUGUGUUCUCUUUUGUACAUGCCUCAGUGAGAUGCACAAAGCACAACUUGGUCAGAUUCACAGAGGCUCUUGUCUCCUCUAACUCUUCCUGACUCAGUACUGCAUUUCCAAAUAAAGCCACUCACAAUCUUUAAUCAGGCUGUAAAUUUUAAGAAAUCUGGACCAAGACAGUUUGCUCCAAGAGUAUCCCACAAAUGCAGAUCUUCAGAGUGAGAUUUUAUUAUUGGAUUGCUCACCUGUCUGUUGGUAAGUGAGAUGACAAUAACAAAGUGAAGAUGAUAAUAACUUGACAUGCAGUGGUACCACAAUUGUUAAACACUGGCCUAUGGUUAAUUGUGAACAAGGCUUGGGGAAAUCAAAUGGGUACAUCAUUUGAUCACUGUGGAGACAAUGAUACUUAUGAAGAUUGUAAUUUCAGAUG